rnacentral:rRNA from 1 species
AGUGGCGAACGGGUGAGUAAUGCAUCGGAACGUACCGUGUAGUGGGGGAUAACGUAGCGAAAGUUACGCUAAUACCGCAUACGCCCUGAGGGGGAAAGUGGGGGACCGCAAGGCCUCACGCUAUAUGAGCGGCCGAUGUCGGAUUAGCUAGUUGGUAGGGUAAAGGCCUACCAAGGCGACGAUCCGUAGCGGGUCUGAGAGGAUGAUCCGCCACACUGGGACUGAGACACGGCCCAGACUCCUACGGGAGGCAGCAGUGGGGAAUUUUGGACAAUGGGCGCAAGCCUGAUCCAGCCAUGCCGCGUGAGUGAAGAAGGCCUUCGGGUUGUAAAGCUCUUUCAGACGGAAAGAAAUCUCUCGGGAUAACACCCUGGGAGGAUGACGGUACCGUAAGAAGAAGCACCGGCUAACUACGUGCCAGCAGCCGCGGUAAUACGUAGGGUGCGAGCGUUAAUCGGAAUUACUGGGCGUAAAGCGUGCGCAGGCGGUGAUGUAAGACAGAUGUGAAAUCCCCGGGCUCAACCUGGGAACUGCGUUUGUGACUGCAUCACUCGAGUACGGCAGAGGGAGGUGGAAUUCCGCGUGUAGCAGUGAAAUGCGUAGAUAUGCGGAGGAACACCGAUGGCGAAAGGCAGCCUCCUGGGCCAGUACUGACGCUCAUGCACGAAAGCGUGG